rnacentral:rRNA from 1 species
GGGUUGUGAGGUUAAGCGACUAAGCGUACACGGUGGAUGCCCUGGCAGUCAGAGGCGAUGAAGGGCGUGCUAAUCUGCGAUAAGCGCCGGUAAGGUGAUAUGAACCGUUAUAACCGGCGAUACCCGAAUGGGGAAACCCAGUGUGUUUCGACACACUAUCAUUAACUGAAUCCAUAGGUUAAUGAGGCGAACCGGGGGAACUGAAACAUCUAAGUACCCCGAGGAAAAGAAAUCAACCGAGAUUCCCCCAGUAGCGGCGAGCGAACGGGGAGGAGCCCAGAGCCUGAAUCAGCAUGUGUGUUAGUGGAAGCGUCUGGAAAGGCGCGCGAUACAGGGUGACAGCCCCGUACACAAAAGCGCAUGUGCUGUGAGCUCGAUGAGUAGGGCGGGACACGUGGUAUCCUGUCUGAAUAUGGGGGGACCAUCCUCCAAGGCUAAAUACUCCUGACUGACCGAUAGUGAACCAGUACCGUGAGGGAAAGGCGAAAAGAACCCCGGCGAGGGGAGUGAAAAAGAACCUGAAACCGUGUACGUACAAGCAGUGGGAGCACCCUUUGGGGUGUGACUGCGUACCUUUUGUAUAAUGGGUCAGCGACUUAUAUUCUGUAGCAAGGUUAACCGAAUAGGGGAGCCGGAGGGAAACCGAGUCUUAAUUGGGCGUUAAGUUGCAGGGUAUAGACCCGAAACCCGGUGAUCUAGCCAUGGGCAGGUUGAAGGUUGGGUAACACUAACUGGAGGACCGAACCGACUAAUGUUGAAAAAUUAGCGGAUGACCUGUGGCUGGGGGUGAAAGGCCAAUCAAACCGGGAGAUAGCUGGUUCUCCCCGAAAGCUAUUUAGGUAGCGCCUCGUGAAUUCAUCUCCGGGGGUAGAGCACUGUUUCGGCUAGGGGGCCAUCCCGGCUUACCAACCCGAUGCAAACUGCGAAUACCGGAGAAUGUUAUCACGGGAGACACACGGCGGGUGCUAACGUCCGUCGUGAAGAGGGAAACAACCCAGACCGCCAGCUAAGGUCCCAAAGUCAUGGUUAAGUGGGAAACGAUGUGGGAAGGCCCAGACAGCCAGGAUGUUGGCUUAGAAGCAGCCAUCAUUUAAAGAAAGCGUAAUAGCUCACUGGUCGAGUCGGCCUGCGCGGAAGAUGUAACGGGGCUAAACCAUGCACCGAAGCUGCGGCAGCGACGCUGAUGCGUUGUUGGGUAGGGGAGCGUUCUGUAAGCCUGUGAAGGUGGCCUGUGAGGGUUGCUGGAGGUAUCAGAAGUGCGAAUGCUGACAUAAGUAACGAUAAAGCGGGUGAAAAGCCCGCUCGCCGGAAGACCAAGGGUUCCUGUCCAACGUUAAUCGGGGCAGGGUGAGUCGACCCCUAAGGCGAGGCCGAAAGGCGUAGUCGAUGGGAAACGGGUUAAUAUUCCCGUACUUGGUGUUACUGCGAAGGGGGGACGGAGAAGGCUAUGUUGGCCGGGCGACGGUUGUCCCGGUUUAAGCGUGUAGGUGUGUGUUCCAGGUAAAUCCGGUUCACUUUAACACUGAGGCGUGAUGACGAGGCACUACGGUGCUGAAGCAACAAAUGCCCUGCUUCCAGGAAAAGCCUCUAAGCAUCAGGUAACAUCAAAUCGUACCCCAAACCGACACAGGUGGUCAGGUAGAGAAUACCAAGGCGCUUGAGAGAACUCGGGUGAAGGAACUAGGCAAAAUGGUGCCGUAACUUCGGGAGAAGGCACGCUGACACGUAGGUGAAGUGAUUUACUCAUGGAGCUGAAGUCAGUCGAAGAUACCAGCUGGCUGCAACUGUUUAUUAAAAACACAGCACUGUGCAAACACGAAAGUGGACGUAUACGGUGUGACGCCUGCCCGGUGCCGGAAGGUUAAUUGAUGGGGUCAGCGCAAGCGAAGCUCCUGAUCGAAGCCCCGGUAAACGGCGGCCGUAACUAUAACGGUCCUAAGGUAGCGAAAUUCCUUGUCGGGUAAGUUCCGACCUGCACGAAUGGCGUAAUGAUGGCCAGGCUGUCUCCACCCGAGACUCAGUGAAAUUGAACUCGCUGUGAAGAUGCAGUGUACCCGCGGCAAGACGGAAAGACCCCGUGAACCUUUACUAUAGCUUGACACUGAACAUUGAGCCUUGAUGUGUAGGAUAGGUGGGAGGCUUUGAAGUGUGGACGCCAGUCUGCAUGGAGCCGACCUUGAAAUACCACCCUUUAAUGUUUGAUGUUCUAACGUGGACCCGUGAUCCGGGUUGCGGACAGUGUCUGGUGGGUAGUUUGACUGGGGCGGUCUCCUCCUAAGAGUAACGGAGGAGCACGAAGGUUGGCUAAUCUGGUCGGACAUCAGGAGGUUAGUGCAAUGGCAUAAGCCAGCUUGACUGCGAGCGUGACGGCGCGAGCAGGUGCAGCAGGUCAUAGUGAUCCGGUGGUUCUGAAUGGAAGGGCCAUCGCUCAACGGAUAAAAGGUACUCCGGGGAUAACAGGCUGAUACCGCCCAAGAGUUCAUAUCGACGGCGGUGUUUGGCACCUCGAUGUCGGCUCAUCACAUCCACGGGCUGAAGUAGGUCCCAAGGGUAUGGCUGUUCGCCAUUUAAAGUGGUACGCGAGCUGGGUUUAGAACGUCGUGAGACAGUUCGGUCCCUAUCUGCCGUGGGCGCUGGAGAACUGAGGGGCUGCUCCUAGUACGAGGGACCGGGUGGACGCAUCACUGGUGUUCGGGUUGUCAUGCCAAUGGCACUGCCCGGUAGCUAAAUGCGGAAGAGAUAAGUGCUGAAAGCAUCUAAGCACGAAACUUGCCCCGAGAUGAGUUCUCCCUGAGACUUUAGGUCUCCUGAAGGAACGUUGAAGACGACGACGUUGAUAGGCCGGGUGUGUAAGCGCAGCGAUGCGUUGAGCUAACCGGUACUAAUGAACCGUGAGGCUUAACCUUACAACGCCGAAG